GCCGGGAGAUGAGCUAAGCUGGCUGCAAGCGCCGCGGCAUUCAGCCCCCUCGUGUCCCGCCCGCCGCGCGUGAGUGGAUAGGAUCCCGCAUCUCGGGCUCUUCCCGGUGCUUGCGCGGGGGCCGGCGGGGAGUAUUUCUCAAAUCCUAAGGCCCAAAGAACUCACACACUAGGAACUCUUUUCUCCAACCGAAGCUUCAGUAAUGUUCUGUCUGGGUAGCACAUGCUUGCCUACUUUGACCUAAUGGAGUGAGAUAAGAAAUCGAAAGCGUCUGGAUUGGUCAGAGAUUGAAAGGAGAGCAACAAACCAAUCUCCAUUAGUUGCUGAAUGGAUAUAAACUCUGUGAUGGGAGAUGAUUGAAGACAAGGGGCCUCGUGUUGCUGACUACUUUGUUGUAGCAGGCUUAACUGACAUUUCAAAGCCUCUUGAAGAGGAAAUUCACUUCAACGAUGCCUGUCACAAAGUGGCAAGACCAAAAGAACCCAUCACAGAUGUUUCUGUUAUCAUCAAAUCCCUUGGGGAGGAGGUGCCU
rnacentral:lncRNA from 1 species